UACGUAGGGGGCAAGCGUUGUCCGGAAUCAUUGGGCGUAAAGCGCGUGUAGGCGGCCUGACAGGUCUGCUGUGAAAACUCGAGGCUCAACCUCGAGAUGUCGGCGGAAACCGUCUGGCUAGAGUCCGGAAGAGGAGAGUGGAAUUCCUGGUGUAGCGGUGAAAUGCGCAGAUAUCAGGAAGAACACCUAUGGCGAAGGCAGCUCUCUGGGACGGUACUGACGCUGAGACGCGAAAGCGUGGGGAGCGAACAGG
rnacentral:rRNA from 1 species